AAUGCCUGCUGCUUCUCCAAGCCUUCAUGGAAGGCGAUUUCUUUCCAGCGCAUCUCCAGAGAUGGCUAGGCCCUGCUCUCCCUGGACACCCUGCUCUGUCCCAUCCUGAGGACAGUGCCUAGAGCAGACUGGCCCAUGUCGUGUCCUUUCCCAAAGUCCAGAGGCAAGGAGACAGGCACUGACAGACAUUUGAGCCAGAUAAAUAGGAGAGGCCCAGGGUUCUACUGGCUACACAAAGAGCAGACAGAGUUCAGAGAGGGAGUGCACAUCUAUGACCAGGAGUCCAGGAAAGAGUAAUGGAAGAAGAGAUAUCAGAGCUCAACUCAGUCCUUAAGGCUCCCAGGAUCCUAUUCCCCUGGAAGGACUUCCAGAAAGUCACUACCCCUGACAAGACUCAGAUCGGCUCCUGGACACGAAUGACAGGGGUUUGUGACACCUCAGAAAUCGAGUACAAGCCUGUGUGUGCAUAGGUGUGCAUGAGCACACAGGGACUUUUCUAAGGAGUGGCCUCCAGCUCUCAUCAAGGAGGGAUGUGCCCCAAAAGGUUGGAAGCUCCCAUUCAUUCAUGUCCCUCAGCCCUCCCACUGUGGACAGCCCCCUGAACUCCAGUACGUCCCCAGAUCAGCAGCCUCAGCAUGAGCUCCUACGCAGGACCUGCUGAAUCAGACACUCUGGGCACGGAGCCCAAGGAUCUGUUUUAACAAGCCCUCCGGUGAGUCUGGUGCAUGACAAGCUUGAGAACCACUGGGCUCCGUCCCGCUUCUCCAGACCCCAACAAGUCUUGGUGACAAUUAAGGGUAAGCUUAGCUCUUGUUGUGGUCUUGAUGAGCUCUCCUCAAUGGGUAUAUUAUGGAGGGAUCCUAAGUGGCUAAUAAGGAAGGGGAUGAAAGUCGGUUUUGGCUUUUGCUGCUGUUCCCAACCCUCUUCUUGCCAUCCUGCUCUGGAGCAGCUGACAAAAGUGACCAUUAUCAUCGUCCUCUCAGAGCCAGCUUUGAUGCCCUCACUUAUUGCCUCCCUGACUCGGAUGAAGCCUGAGUGCAGUCUCUGCACAAAAAUCACCCAGGACCAUCAGAAUCCAAUCUCAAAGAACUUCUCCAGAUUUUUGUACCUGAAUUGCCUGUGUGGCUCCCUCCUGGCCUUUUCCCUGAGGGGUCUUAUCAGCCCACAGCCCAAGCCCAUUUGUCCUGAAGGUGAAAUCUGACAACUCUACCCUUCCCAAUGAGAUCUCCAACUCUAAUUAUGGUGUUGUCUAUUUCUCCCUUUA
rnacentral:lncRNA from 1 species